CUAACACAUGCAAGUCGAACGGCAGCACAGAGGAGCUUGCUCCUUGGGUGGCGAGUGGCGGACGGGUGAGGAAUACAUCGGAAUCUACUCUGUCGUGGGGGAUAACGUAGGGAAACUUACGCUAAUACCGCAUACGACCUACGGGUGAAAGCAGGGGAUCUUCGGACCUUGCGCGAUUGAAUGAGCCGAUGUCGGAUUAGCUAGUUGGCGGGGUAAAGGCCCACCAAGGCGACGAUCCGUAGCUGGUCUGAGAGGAUGAUCAGCCACACUGGAACUGAGACACGGUCCAGACUCCUACGGGAGGCAGCAGUGGGGAAUAUUGGACAAUGGGCGCAAGCCUGAUCCAGCCAUACCGCGUGGGUGAAGAAGGCCUUCGGGUUGUAAAGCCCUUUUGUUGGGAAAGAAAUCCAACUGGUUAAUACCCGGUUGGGAUGACGGUACCCAAAGAAUAAGCACCGGCUAACUUCGUGCCAGCAGCCGCGGUAAUACGAAGGGUGCAAGCGUUACUCGGAAUUACUGGGCGUAAAGCGUGCGUAGGUGG
rnacentral:rRNA from 1 species